rnacentral:rRNA from 1 species
AUUGAACGCUGGCGGAAUGCUUUACACAUGCAAGUCGAACGGCAGCACGGGGCAACCUGGUGGCGAGUGGCGAACGGGUGAGUAAUACAUCGGAACGUGCCCAAUCGUGGGGGAUAACGCAGCGAAAGCUGUGCUAAUACCGCAUACGAUCUACGGAUGAAAGCGGGGGAUCGCAAGACCUCGCGCGGACGGAGCGGCCGAUGGCAGAUUAGGUAGUUGGUGGGAUAAAAGCUUACCAAGCCGACGAUCUGUAGCUGGUCUGAGAGGACGACCAGCCACACUGGGACUGAGACACGGCCCAGACUCCUACGGGAGGCAGCAGUGGGGAAUUUUGGACAAUGGGCGCAAGCCUGAUCCAGCAAUGCCGCGUGCAGGAUGAAGGCCUUCGGGUUGUAAACUGCUUUUGUACGGAACGAAACGGUGAGCUCUAAUAAAGCUUGCUAAUGACGGUACCGUAAGAAUAAGCACCGGCUAACUACGUGCCAGCACG